CGAAGGAUGCAAGCGUUAUCCGGAUUCAUUGGGUUUAAAGGGAGCGUAGGUGGGUUUGUAAGUCAGUGGUGAAAGCCGGUCGCUUAACGAUCGAAUUGCCAUUGAUACUGCAGACCUUGAGUACAGAUGCUGUGGGCGGAAUAUGACAUGUAGUGGUGAAAUACAUAGAGAUGUCAUAGAACACCGAUUGCGAAGGCAGCUCACAAAACUGUAACUGACACUGAGGCUCGAAAGUGCGGGGAUCAAACAGGAUUAGAUACCCUGGUAGUCCGCACUGUAAACGAUGAUUACUCGCUGCUGGGGGGCAACCUUCAGUGGCUGAGCGAAAGCGAUAAGUAAUCCACCUGGGGAGUACGCCGGCAACGGUG
rnacentral:rRNA from 1 species